rnacentral:ncRNA from 1 species
CACUGCCCAUCACUACCACCAACUGGAUGGUUUAGUGAGGCCCUCAGAUCGCCCCUGCUGGGAUCAGCCCACAGCCUUGGUAGAGCCCUGAGAAGACAGUCAAACUUAACUAUCGAGAGAAAGUGAAAGUUGUUAAGCAGGGUUUCCAUACAUGAACCUGCAGAAG